rnacentral:rRNA from 1 species
UCUAGAGGCUUCGUCAAUGCCCGAAAGGGUGAACGAGCGACGCCGCGUGCGGGAUGACGGCCUUCGGGUUGUAAACCGCUUUUAUAAGGGACGAAUAUACAGAUCGUGAAUUUGUGUUUGACGGUACCUUAGGAAUAAGCCUCGGCUAACUCCGUGCCAGCAGCCGCGGUAAUACGGAGGAGGCAAGCGUUGUUCGGAAUUAUUGGGCGUAAAGGGCUCGUAGGCGGACUUGUGUGUCUUGUGUGAAAUCUCCACCGCUUACCGGGGAGGGUGCAUAGGAAACUGCAAGUCUUGAGUAUGAUAGAGGGUCGCGGAAUUCCGGGUGUAGCGGUGGAAUGCGUAGAUAUCCGGAGGAACACCGGUGGCGAAGGCGGCGGCCUGGAUCAAUACUGACGCUGAGGAGCGAAAGCUAGGGUAGCAAACG